rnacentral:rRNA from 1 species
AUUGAACGCUAGCGGGAUGCUUUACACAUGCAAGUCGAACGGCAGCGCGGACUUCGGUCUGGCGGCGAGUGGCGAACGGGUGAGUAAUGUAUCGGAACGUGCCCAGUAGCGGGGGAUAACUACGCGAAAGCGUAGCUAAUACCGCAUACGCCCUACGGGGGAAAGCAGGGGAUCGUAAGACCUUGCACUAUUGGAGCGGCCGAUAUCGGAUUAGCUAGUUGGUGAGGUAACGGCUCACCAAGGCGACGAUCCGUAGCUGGCUUGAGAGGACGACCAGCCACACUGGGACUGAGACACGGCCCAGACUCCUACGGGAGGCAGCAGUGGGGAAUUUUGGACAAUGGGGGCAACCCUGAUCCAGCCAUCCCGCGUGUGCGAUGAAGGCCUUCGGGUUGUAAAGCACUUUUGGCAGGAAAGAAACGUCGCGGGCUAAUACCCCGUGGAACUGACGGUACCUGCAGAAUAAGCACCGGCUAACUACGUG